rnacentral:rRNA from 1 species
AACGAACGCUGGCGGCAUGCCUAACACAUGCAAGUCGAACGAGACCUUCGGGUCUAGUGGCGCACGGGUGCGUAACGCGUGGGAACCUGCCCUUAGGUUCGGAAUAACUCCCCGAAAGGGGUGCUAAUACCGGAUAAUGUCUUCGGACCAAAGAUUUAUGGCCUUUGGAUGGGCCCGCGUUGGAUUAGCUAGUUGGUAGGGUAAAAGCCUACCAAGGCGACGAUCCAUAGCUGGUCUGAGAGGAUGAUCAGCAACACUGGGACUGAGACACGGCCCAGACUCCUACGGGAGGCAGCAGUGGGGAAUAUUGGACAAUGGGCGAAAGCCUGAUCCAGCAAUGCCGCGUGAGUGAUGAAGGCCUUAGGGUUGUAAAGCUCUUUUACCCGGGAUGAUAAUGACAGUACCGGGAGAAUAAGCUCCGGCUAACUCCGUG